UUCCAAACUCUAAAUCUCAUUUCCCUGACCGGGAAUUGAACUCGGGCCGCGGCGGUGAAAGCGCCAAAUCCUAGCCACUAGACCAUCAGGGACACAUUUAUGCAAAUGGAGUCAUAGUUUAAGUCGAAUGCUUUAAAAACAUCUGUAGUUUGGCUUGAAUUGAAAUUUAGAGCUUCAAUUCCCCGACUAGGAAUUUAACACUUUAUAUCUGAUUUCCCUGACCGGGAAUUGAACCCGGGCCGCGGCGGUGAGAGCGCCGAAUCCUAGCCACUAGACCAUCAGGGACACAAUUAUGCAAAUGGAGUCAUAGUUUAAGUUGAAUGCUUUAAAAACAUCUGCAGUUUUGCUUGAAUUAAAAGUUGGAUCUGGAAUUCCAAACUCUAAAUCUCAUUUCCCUGACCGGGAAUUGAACCCGGGCCGCGGCGGUGAAAGCGCCAAAUCCUAGCCCCUAGACCAUCAGGGACAUGGCUAUGCUAAUGAAGUCUUAGUUUAAGUCGAAAACUUUAAAAACAUCUGCAGUUUGGCUUGAAUUAAAAGUUGGAUCUGGAAUACCAAACUCUAAGUCUCAUUUCCCUGACCGGGAAUUGAACCCGGGCCGCAGCGGUGAGAGCGCUGAAUCCUGGCCACUAGACCAUCAGGGACAUGAUUAUGCUAAUGAAGUCUUAGUUUAAGUCGAAAACUUUAAAAACAUCUGCAUUAAAGCUUGAAUUCCCUGACCAGGAAUUUAACACUUUAUAUAUGAUUUCCCUUCCCGGGAAUUGAACCCGGGCCGCAGCGGUGAGAGCGCCGAAUCCUAGCCACUAGACCAUCAGUGACACAAUUAUGCAAAUGAAGUCUUAGUUUAAGUCGAAAACUUUAAAAACAUCUGUAGUUUCGCUUGAAUCAAAAGUUGGAUCUGGAAAUCCAAACUCUAAAUCUCAUUUCCGUGACCGGGAAUUGAACCCGGGCCGCGGCAGUGAGAACGCCAAAUCCUAGCCACUAGACCAUCAGGGACAUGAUUAUGCUAAUGAUGUAUUAAUUUAAGUCGAAAACUUUAAAAGCAUCUGCUGUUUGGCUUGAAUUAAAAGUCGGAUCUGGAAUUCCAAACUCUAAAUCUCGUUUCCCUGGCCGGGAAUUUAACCCGGGCCGCGGCGGUGAAAGCGCCAAAUCCUAGCCACAAGACCAUCAGGGACACAAUUAUGCAAAUGGAGUCAUAGUUUAAGUCGAAUGCUUUAAAAACAUCUGUAGUUUGGCUUGAAUUAAAAUUUAGAGCUUCAACGGCCCUGACCAGGAAUUUAACACUUUAUAUCUGAUUUCCCUGACCGGGAAUAGAACCCGGGCCGCGGCGGUGAGAGCGCCAAAUCCCGGCCACUAGACCAUCAGGGACAUGAUUAUGCUAAUGAAGUCUUAGUUUAAGUCGAAAACUUUAAAAACAUCUGCAGUUU
ensembl:lncRNA